UUUGAAGUUCAUUUAAAUUAUUGUAUUUAAGUCUGUGUAAACUAUUAUUUUAAAAACCUGAUGCUUUUCCAUGACUGUAAUCUCACUGUUUGCUAUGUGUAUUUUGUAGUGUGUACUGUGUGCAAAUCCAGUAUCCUACACUUGUAUGCUACAGGCCUUGUUUUGAUCUGACUAACUGUUAAUAUGUUUCAGCUUUAAAGACUAGUAUCUUUUGAAAUUGAAAUUUGCCUCUCAGUCUCUCAAGAAUCAAGAUGCCAAAUAGAUGUGCAGGAUUUGAUUGCUGACAAACCAGGGAUGAGGCUCAAGAGUCAAGAGAUCACCCUGCAUUGGCAAGUGGCUGGAACAACCCCAGUGCCGCACAGUUCUGCGGGAUAUUCCGGCACCUGCUCCACCGCUGCGGCGUCCGGCCCGGCAGCACAGGGAAAGUGGCAGCCCUCGACCCGACCAGCAUCCUGGCAGUCGGUCACACGACCAGCGGACGGGGAGCCAGCCUCACUGCCUCGGCCUCCACCACCUCAGACAACGGUGCCACGGCACUCCACAUCAUCACGGAGCACGACUUCCAGCCUGGGCUGUCGUCUGGUGGGCAACAUCGUCACCUACAUCGCAGGGUUCGUGGUGAAGAAGGCGCUCGACUCUGUCAGCUGUAGCACCUGUCAGGAGGCCCUGGUGAGCGACAUCCAGCCGGACGACAUGACACAGCUUUACCACCUCUUCAUCAUCUCUGCCAGAUGAGCUAAGGUGGGGACGGGUUACAUGCCUGGGAUCUGACUGAGACCCGCUCAUACCCUGCCGAAGUGUUGGUGAUUUCAGCGGUCAGCUGUCUCUAGCCGGUGUCAGUGAGUCGCGGCCAGCUGCCGCUGGAGUGGGUAUAUACCGUCGAUAGCUGCUGUGUGGCGGAUAGCGUGGAUUUGGAUGGACACUUCAUAUUAAUGAACAGAUCAAUGUCUGGCCGAUAAAAGACGUAUUUUGUCGAUGAUUGCUUAGUGACUGAGUGGGUCCACUGGCGACCAAUGCAGUGGGCGCUGGGUUAACGCCUCGCCUCUUGUGACCGUGUCGAUAUGUAGCACUGUUAAUUGCCGAUUCGUUGCCGGCCGUCUCUGCUCCGUGGCUGGCUGAUCCGGCACAAACUGGUGUUCGUGGCUGAAGGCGCGGCUACAGUUACACUAGCUCGCCACGUGCCUGUGCGACUAUCGUCGGUGCUGUCUGCAAGGGCGAUGUCGGUGCCUGUAGGGGGCGCGGAUUGAUUCAAAGUGAGGAAUGGGUCAUCGGA
rnacentral:lncRNA from 1 species